UAUACGUUGCCUCGGCGGAUCAGCCCGCGCCCCGUAAAACGGGACGGCCCGCCCGAGGACCCCUAAACUCUGUUUUUAGUGGAACUUCUGAGUAAAACAAACAAAUAAAUCAAAACUUUCAACAACGGAUCUCUUGGUUCUGGCAUCGAUGAAGAACGCAGCAAAAUGCGAUAAGUAAUGUGAAUUGCAGAAUUCAGUGAAUCAUCGAAUCUUUGAACGCACAUUGCGCCCGCCAGUAUUCUGGCGGGCAUGCCUGUUCGAGCGUCAUUUCAACCCUCAAGCUCAGCUUGGUGUUGGGACUCGCGGUAACCACCCGCGUUCCCCAAAUCGAUUGGCGGUCACGUCGAGCUUCCAUAGCGUAGUAAUCAUACACCUCGUUACUGGUAAUCGUCGCGGCCACGCCGUAAAACCCCAACUUCUGAAUGUUGACCUCGGAUCAGGUAGGAAUACCCGCUGAACUUAAGCAU
rnacentral:rRNA from 1 species